GAUUUGAUGAGAUGUGUGCCAACAGUCAUUGACGACGCUCCACAUUCACAAAGUGAAGAAACUGAUUCAAGUUGAAGAUAGCAGUAGGGAUGAAAAUGGCAGAAGUAGAUUUCAUGUUUUCUCCAGUGGUGAUUUCCUCUGGUUGUAUAAUAUUGUUAAUGACAAGACAAGGAUGGACACCAGUUAAUUUUAACUCCUCAAGAAGUCAUGUGUAGAAGAAAAAAAGAAAAACAAUUUGUGUGAAUGAAAAAUGCCAUGACAUUAGGCUAGGUUUUCCACAUUCACAUGCCAUGUCAUGCAAUUAAAGAAAAAUGUGAGAAAAAGUUUGAUGAUCUACGGAAGAAGCCAAAUCAAAGGAGUGAGUAAAGGCUUGCCAAAGAAAUCAGAAAAAAUAAUAAUGUCCAAUAGCUGGGCAAGCUUAUGUGGCUUUGAAAAAAAAAAGACGUGACAUGUGACUUUGAAUAGGGUGGUGUGAAAGCAAAAGAAAAAUUUAACUCUCAGAUGCUGGCCUUACCAUUUACAUCAGACUUCUUUCACGGGGAUUUCGCAAUUAUUCCUCGUAGUACGAAUACAAGAUUCGACUAGAAAAUUUUCACACAAGCUGAAUUUAAAGGAUUGAACACGAUGUCAAUGCCCAUCAGAGAGCCGCCAUUCUCAAAAAGUUUAUACCAAGCCAUACAAACCAUACGAGCGUGCGUAAGGUAGAAAACGUCACUAGCUGGAGAAAAAUCUUCGACGGCAGUUCACCCUAAAAAAGAAGCAAAAUUAUUCGUCACCGAGAAAAUUGUAUCUGGAAGAUUCUACAUGGACAAAAGCCAUAUUCUCGUCUUCCCCUGGUUGAUGGAAAUUUUGAUCAUAUUCACAAUUUACUCAAAUUUACGGUGGACUUAAUGAAAAAGCUCCCAUUCUCCUCUGAUGAUUGGAGCUCUGGAUUGGAGAUCAAGUGCAAUUUUUUUGCUUGCUAUGCCCAAAAUAGUCACGAAAUUAACCCAUGUUGUGAAUUAUUAGUAACAGAUAUCGUUAUUUCAGAGGAGGAGAGCCUACCUCCUGCAGUACUAGGUGAACCAGCCAACUUAAAAAAUCCUUCAAUCUUGUAAAUGUUACGUAGCUUCGUGUCAUCUUCGCUGUCUGAAAGUAGUAAGUUUACAAACGCAUUAUUUCUUAAACAUUUUGAUUCGUUUUCAUUUGAAUUAUAUUCCCCGUACAUUUUAUGAGUGUUAAAGUUGAGUUUUUUCUGGAUAAUACUUUUUAUGUUUUUUCUGUCCAACUUAUACCCUUCACCUUCACGGGCUUCACAGAUAGCGUCCAACAGAUUGCUGCAUGAAUAAUCAUUCCAGCCCACCCUUCCGUUUCUGGAUAAGUUUGAUUAUGCAAUCUUCAGGGUCUCCUGAGUUUACUCGGUUCGGCGUCGGCCCAGUUAGCGUAUCAUGGAUACAGAUUUGAUCCCGUAGUCUCCCAAACCCACUUACCCUCAAUUAGUUCAUCAGAACCCGAGGUCCAAAAUGCAUCUUUGAAAUAAAUCGUAUGAACGUCAAUUUAAACGGAAGCGAGUGGCUCUUACUAUUUCGAAAAAUAUACAAUUUAACAGGUUUACACGAAACCGCCUGUACAAAUUCUUUAUUGGCCUUGAAUUUAACCUAAUCAUACUCACUUGAUGUACCCCAGACAGCCUGAAUGGCCAACUCUUCUUCGUAACUUUCAACCACAUACUUCUCUCCGCCAUUGUCCGUCCAUGAUCAUGAUGGCAAGUAGGCUACUGGCAUGUAGACAGUAGACUGCAUGUAGACCCCGAUAAUCCGAUAUCCGAAAAAACUGAAAUAUCGAUCUGCCACCUGGUGAAACAACGGAAUUUAACUUUUGUUAGGGCGGUUUUUCUGAAAUUUUUUUAUGUAAUACCAUUAUUUAUAGGUUCUUAAAGAUGUGUGAAAAAAGUUGAAAACAGUGCAAGAAAUAGAUUAAAAAUAUCAGAUAAUAAGUUAUUAACUCAUUUUAUUAAUCCACAAAUCAAGGUUGUUAUUGAUGCAAACGGAUGACAUCCCGUUACAAUACGACAAAUUUCGGAAAAGUUAAUGUAGACGCCAAAAAGGAAAACAAUUCAAUUCGCAAUUAGCAGUAUCGAAACGAACUAGUGCUUGUUGUUUUUAGACUUGAUCGUAAGAUCUGGCUUCAUUACGAGGUUAUUCGUUGGUGAUAAGUCGUGUACUUUAACGCUGUAUCCAAAGGAGAACUCGAGGCAGGACAUCAUAUUUUCGAACGUUAAUAAAAUGGAGCCAGGUUGUGGUAAAUUGGUUGGGCUGUAUCCCGUUCUUUUCAGAACACUGAAGAAUUCUGUUAACGUUAGAUGGAUGACGUCCAGUGAGUCGGCUGGAUUUAGGACCAACUGAUCGAAAAGCUCCUUCGUGGUCCCGAAUAGAUCAAACAGAUACAGCGAAGUGGCGAAAACUUUUUUACGAGUUAUACGCUUCCCUAUCCAAUCUUGAACAGCGAAUUUGUACAAAUUAUAGACGACGAACAUGUGUGGAUGGACACCACACAUCUUCGAAAUACGAAGACUGGCGAAAAACGCUUGAAAUUGGAACAUCAUCUCUCUGCGACAAAACAACUUCUUCAAAUCAUCAGUACUUUUGAAUUCCGUGACUUCAAAGCAAUUUUCUCCCAUUUACAUUGGGGUAAUGUAAUCUUCAGAAUGGCACUGUCUUCUCGCAAAUGCGUGGCUUUAUACCAGCUACUCCAGCCAUGUUUUUGAACACUGGUGG
rnacentral:lncRNA from 1 species